UGCCAGAUCAAAUCAUUGAUUUGUCAGGGU
rnacentral:piRNA from 1 species